AAAAUCCGCUGUAACAAUUCUGAGGCAUGAUGGGGAAGGCCAUAUAGGCCGAAGUACAUGAUUCCAUGCUUCCAAGAAAAGCAUCUAGAGAGAGAAGUAGUGCCCGUACCGCAAACCGACACAGGUAGAUGAGGAGAGAAUCCUAAGGCCGGCGGAAGAAUUGCAGUUAAGGAACUAGGCAAAUUGACCCCGUAAGUUCGCGAGAAGGGGUGCCUGCGAGAGCAGGCCGCAGAGAAUAGGCCCAAGCAACUGUUUAGCAAAAACACAGGUCUCUGCUAAAGCGUAAGCUGAUGUAUAGGGGCUGACGCCUGCCCGGUGCUGGAAGGUUAAGGGGAACACUUAGCGCAAGCGAAGGUGUGAACUUAGGCCCCAGUAAACGGCGGCCGUAACUAUAACGGUCCUAAGGUAGCGAAAUUCCUUGUCAGGUAAGUUCUGACCCGCACGAAUGGCGUAAUGACUUGGGCACUGUCUCAACUGCAAAUCCGGCGAAGUUGUAGUGCGAGUGAAGAUGCUCGCUACCCGCGAUUGGACGGAAAGACCCCGUAGAGCUUUACUGUAGCUUAGCAUUGAGUUCCGGUAUUGUCUGUACAGGAUAGGUGGGAGACUGGGAAACUAGGGCGUCAGCCUUAGUGGAGUCAACCUUGGGAUACCGCCCUGACAGUACUGGGGUUCUAACAGGACGCCAUGAAUCUGGUGACUGGACAUUGUUAGGUGGGCAGUUUGACUGGGGCGGUCGCCUCCUAAAAAGUAACGGAGGCGCCCAAAGGUUCCCUCAGAACGGUCGGAAAUCGUUCGUAGAGUGCAAAGGCAGAAGGGAGCCUGACUGCGAGACAUACAAGUCGAGCAGGGACGAAAGUCGGGCUUAGUGAUCCGGUGGUACCUCGUGGGAGGGCCAUCGCUCAACGGAUAAAAGCUACCUCGGGGAUAACAGGCUGAUCUCCCCCAAGAGUCCACAUCGACGGGGAGGUUUGGCACCUCGAUGUCGGCUCGUCGCAUCCUGGGGCUGUAGUAGGUCCCAAGGGUUGGGCUGUUCGCCCAUUAAAGCGGCACGCGAGCUGGGUUCAGAACGUCGUGAGACAGUUCGGUCCCUAUCCGUCGCGGGCGUAGGAAAUUUGAGAGGAGCUGUCCUUAGUACGAGAGGACCGGGAUGGACUGACCUCUGGUGCACCAGUUGUUCCGCCAGGAGCAUGGCUGGGUAGCUAAGUCGGGAAGGGAUAAACGCUGAAAGCAUCUAAGCGUGAAGCCUCCCUCAAGAUGAGAUUUCCCAUAGCAUAAGCUAGUAAGACCCCUUGAAGAACACAAGGUUGAUAGGUCAGAGGUGUAAGUGCGGUAACGUAUUUAGCUGACUGAUACUAAUAGGUCGAGGGCUUGACC
rnacentral:rRNA from 1 species